GGCUUGGUGGUGUAGUUGGUUAUCACGUCAGUCUAACACUUGUUAGUUUCACUGAAGGUCUCGAGUUCAAGUCUCGGCCGAGUCA
rnacentral:tRNA from 1 species